GACGAACGCUGGCGGCGCGCCUAACACAUGCAAGUCGAACGAGCGAGCGAGAGCUUGCUUUCUCGAGCGAGUGGCGAACGGGUGAGUAACGCGUGAGGAACCUGCCUUAAAGAGGGGGACAACAGUUGGAAACGACUGCUAAUACCGCAUAAGCCCACGUCCCGCCAUCGAGCAGUGGGAAAAGGAGCGAUCCGCUUUGAGAUGGCCUCGCUUCCGAUUAGCUAGUUGGUGAGGUGACGGCCCACCAAGGCGACGGUCGGUAGCCGGACUGAGAGGUUGAACGGUCACAUUGGGACUGAGACACGGACCAGACUCGUACGCGAGGGAGCAGUGGGGAAUAUUGCAGAAUGGGGCAAGCUGUGAUGAAGCGACGCGGGGUGGAGGAAGAAGGUCUUCGGAUUGUAAUCUCCUGUUGUUGGGGAAGAUAAUGACGGUAACGAACAAGGAAGUGACGGCUAACUACGUG
rnacentral:rRNA from 1 species